rnacentral:rRNA from 1 species
AGGUAAGCUACUAAGAGCGAAUGGUGGAUGCCUUGACUGGUAAAGGCGAUGAAGGACGUACUAGACUGCGAUAAGCUACGGGGAGCUGUCAAGAAGCUUUGAUCCGUAGAUUUCCGAAUGGGGCAACCCAAUGUAUAGAGAUAUGCAUUACCUAUAUAGGAGCGAACGAGGGGAAUUGAAACAUCUUAGUACCCUCAGGAAAAGAAAUCAAUAGAGAUUGCGUCAGUAGCGGCGAGCGAAAGCGCAAGAGGGCAAACCCAGUGCUUGCACUGGGGGUUGUAGGACUGCAAUGUGCAAGAGCUGAGUUUAGCAGAACAUUCUGGAAAGUAUAGCCAUAGAGGGUGAUAGUCCCGUAUGCGAAAAACAAAGCUUAGCUAGCAGUAUCCUGAGUAGGGCGGGACACGAGGAAUCCUGUCUGAAUCCGGGUCGACCACGAUCCAACCCUAAAUACUAAUACCAGAUCGAUAGUGCACAAGUACCGUGAGGGAAAGGUGAAAAGAACUGAGGUGAUCAGAGUGAAAUAGAACCUGAAACCAUUUGCUUACAAUCAUUCAGAGCACUAUGUAGCAAUACAGUGUGAUGGACUGCCUUUUGCAUAAUGAGCCUGCGAGUUGUGGUGUCUGGCAAGGUUAAGCAAACGCGAAGCCGUAGCGAAAGCGAGUCUGAAUAGGGCGCUUAGUCAGAUGCUGCAGACCCGAAACGAAGUGAUCUAUCCAUGAGCAAGUUGAAGCUAGUGUAAGAACUAGUGGAGGACUGAACCCAUAGGCGUUGAAAAGCCCCGGGAUGACUUGUGGAUAGGGGUGAAAGGCCAAUCAAACUUCGUGAUAGCUGGUUCUCUCCGAAAUAUAUUUAGGUAUAGCGUUGUGUCGUAAUAUAAGGGGGUAGAGCACUGAAUGGGCUAGGGCAUACACCAAUGUACCAAACCCUAUCAAACUCCGAAUACCUUAUAUGUAAUCACAGCAGUCAGGCGGCGAGUGAUAAAAUCCGUCGUCAAGAGGGAAACAACCCAGACUACCAGCUAAGGUCCCUAAAUCUUACUUAAGUGGAAAACGAUGUGAAGUUACUUAAACAACCAGGAGGUUGGCUUAGAAGCAGCCAUCCUUUAAAGAAAGCGUAAUAGCUCACUGGUCUAGUGAUUUUGCGCGGAAAAUAUAACGGGGCUAAAGUAAGUACCGAAGCUGUAGACUUAGUUUACUAAGUGGUAGGAGAGCGUUCUAUUUGCGUCGAAGGUAUACCGGUAAGGAGUGCUGGAGCGAAUAGAAGUGAGCAUGCAGGCAUGAGUAGCGAUAAUUAAUGUGAGAAUCAUUAACGCCGUAAACCC